GACGAACGCUGGCGGCGUGCUUAACACAUGCAAGUCGAACGGAAAGGCCCUGCGUUUGUGGGGUUCUCGAGUGGCGAACGCGGGAGUAACACGUGUGUAACCCGCCCUUGUCUUUGGGAUAACUUCACGAAACUGGGGCUAAUAUCGGAUAGGAGCUCCUGCAGCAUGGUGUGCGUUGGAAAGUUUCGGCGGUUGGGGAUGGACUCGCGGCUUAUGAGCUGGUUGGUGGGGUAGUGGAUUACCAAGGGUUUGACGGGUAGCCGGCCUGGGAGGGUGAACGGGCACCAUGGUACUGCGAUACGCAGCAGUCGCGAAUGGGAGGCAACGGUCGGAAGCAUGGCACAACGGGGCGGAGUGUGAUGUGGCAACGCCGCGUUCGUAAAGACCUCCUUCUGGUGGAAAACAGCUGUCGCCUGUGACGAAGCGUUAGUGACGGUAACGGGUAAAGAAGCACCGGCUAACUACGUG
rnacentral:rRNA from 1 species